rnacentral:rRNA from 1 species
AUUGAACGCUGGCGGCAGGCCUAACACAUGCAAGUCGAAUGGUAACAGGAAACAGCUUGCUGUUUCGCUGACGGGUGGCGGACGGGUGAGUAAUGUCUGGGAAACUGCCUGAUGGAGGGGGAUAACUACUGGAAACGGUAGCUAAUACCGCAUAACGUCGCAAGACCAAAGAGGGGGACCUUCGGGCCUCUUGCCAUCAGAUGUGCCCAGAUGGGAUUAGCUAGUAGGUGGGGUAACGGCUCACCUAGGCGACGAUCCCUAGCUGGUCUGAGAGGAUGACCAGCCACACUGGAACUGAGACACGGUCCAGACUCCUACGGGAGGCAGCAGUGGGGAAUAUUGCACAAUGGGCGCAAGCCUGAUGCAGCCAUGCCGCGUGUAUGAAGAAGGCCUUCGGGUUGUAAAGUACUUUCAGCGGGGAGGAAGGGAGUAAAGUUAAUACCUUUGCUCAUUGACGUUACCCGCAGAAGAAGCACCGGCUAACUCCGUG